rnacentral:rRNA from 1 species
UAGGGAAACGCCCGGUUACAUUCCGAACCCGGAAGCUAAGCCUUUCAGCGCCGAUGGUACUGCAGGGGGGACCCUGUGGGAGAGUAGGACACCGCCGAAC